AUGAUGGAUGACAUGUUUCUCUACCAUGCAUCACAUUUAUUUGAGCAUUGGAUAUUUUGUGCUAACCGACACAAGCACGUGCACAUCAUGAUGGAUGAUGUGUACAUAUAUCAUGCACACACAAUUUUCCCUUUGUCUUUGUUUUGUGUAGGUACUCCGGUAUACUCGUCAACCUCUCAAUCCCAAGAGUUAACGAAACGAGCUCUUGAGAGCAAAGAUGACUUGGGAUCCCGUGAACUAUCCUUCCCACCGCUCUCUUUGUGCAACGACUACACGCAUCUUUCUCACUUGGAUCUCACAUGGCUAUGGGCUAUAUACCACUCUCUUGCUCAUUUUACCGUGUUCACUUUGCAUGUUAUCCUUGCUUCUAUGCCUUUGCCAUGUAAUUGUGACCCUUGCUUACAUCUACCCAUGAUUCACAAUUAUGCUACUCCUAUGUGUAUUUGCAUGCUUGGUGGAGAUCCUUGUUGCUAUUGCCAUGAUUAUCAUGUGCCUCAUGCUAUUGAUGGUAUUUUGCUCAUAUCUUGCCUCCAUGCUUGUGAUAUGUCAGGUGCAUUAUUCAUGCCCACCAUUUGCACACGAGACAUACUUGACAUGAUUCCUUCUAGUACGUUGCAUCUUCGCACUACUAGCUUGCUUGCCUUGAUUCACAUGAUUGCUUGCUUUGUCGCAUCACCCAUGUUCCAUUCUUACUUGCUUUCUUGGGUGGAUAACGUAUAUGUUCAUGCCUCUCACAUGAUAUAUUUUGUUCAUUGUCGCUUGCCUCCAAUUGUUGCAUCUAUGCUUAUUGAUCGUGGAGACUUGGACACUUUACUUGUGAUGCAUGCUUGCUUGAUUGAGCCUAUUGUAUUUGGUUGUUCUCGCAUCAUCAUAUGCCUCCAUACUAUGAAGUGCUCCCUUGUCCUUUAUUAUGAUGAGCAUGAUGCAUACACUUGUUGGGUAUUUUACCACACGAAUGAUAGGUUUUGCAUCUCCGCUAACCUCAUUUGUUUUUCCGAGUGUUUUUUAUGUUCUUUCAUGUUGAAGGAUUCACAAGGCGAUACCGUCAUGAGACAAUUUGGUCAUGUGAAGGCAUACACGAUGUGCAACACCAACAUUUGCGAGAAUCUCCUAAAGGUGAACUCCUUCCCUUUGAGCCAUCCUAAAAUAUGCAUAUUGGAUGGGUCACUCUUUCAUUGUUGUUUCCUUCUUCUUGUCUACAUGUUACAUCUAUUGGAUGGAGGACCGACAUUGGAGAUGGAACCCAUCAACCUUGAAGUUGAGGAGCGCUCGAACUUAUUGGAUGAUCCUUCGAACCUCCACUCAUGCCAUGACAUCGAGCAUUGGUAUACCAACACCUCCAUAUUUGUUGAUUGUGUUCACACAUGUCAUGCUCGAUGGACAUAUCAUACACAUGACAAAUUUGCAUCUUAUGCAUGGAUUGACUCACAUCAUGAUUGCCUUGUUGCAUCUUGUAUUCCCAUGUCAUCCAUGAUAUAUGAGAUUGUGCAUUUCAUUAGCAAAUUUGUUAUGAUAUACCUUGAUGGCAUAUUCAUACAUCAUGAUCUUAUUUCCUACCAUCAAUUGCAUGAUCACAUCACAUUGAGCAUCCAUUACCAUAUUCAUGCUAUUGAUAAACCAUCUCACUAUGAUAUCAUUUUGCACCGUGGUUGCAUUGAUCACAUUCACAAUACAUUUGUGUGCAGAAUGAAUGCUUUUGCUCCCAUGAAUGCUUUGCAUACCAUUCCAUAUCUUUUGGAUAAGCUUCAUGCACCUUGUCAUGAUCAAUCUUGUCACACGGACUCUUUGUUAUUUGAUGGACACUUUGUGUGCACUAACCAUUGUAUUUCCAAGUGUCGUUUGUGUUUGCUCUUUUUGCAUGUAUACCACUCCGGCGACACCUUCGAGUACUUGGAUUGUGCCAUGUCUUCCUCUUCGUCCAACUACAAGUCUGUCCACAACAACUGUUUCCAUGGUGAUGAGGUUUUCGAUCCGAGGUCGGAUCUUUCCCAAGGGAGGGGAGAUGAUGCGGAGCAUCCUACGAUCAUCCCCAUGUACACUCAAGCAUACGCCUUUGGACCUAAGGUGAACUCUCUCCUUUUCGAAUCUUCCCUUUCCGCAUGUAAGACAUGGAUGCUACUUCAAGCACGGACCUUGUGCAUACUCAGGUACACCCGAGGAGUCCAAGGAGAACCCAAGGACCAAGGCCAAGCGUGCGCGGGAGCAAAGGAAGGAGAAGGAAGAAGAGUCUGCUGCUACAGCAGCUGGACAUCCGGCCAUGGCCCGGACAUCCGGCCCUUCACGAGCCGCCGGACAUCCAGCCCAGGUCCCGAAAAUCCGGACACCGCCGGACCCGAGAGCAACAAGACCAACCCCGCCAGCGCGGACAUCCGGCCCUCCGCGAAGGCCCGGACAUCCGGCCCAUCGCCGGGACAUCCAGCCUUCCCUGCCUGCGUGCAGUGCAUCUGGGACAAGGCCCAUGUACCCCUUCGCCCCUUAGACUAUAUAUACUCACCCUCCACCUAUGUUUUAGGGUUAGCGUUGUGA
rnacentral:rRNA from 1 species